GCAGAAGUGCAGCUGGGGGCCAUUUUGUCAAGAAGUGCUUAUUUGGAAAAACAAAACAAAACAAAAAAUGAAAAAAAAAAAAAAAAUCUAUACAGGUGCAUGCCAGUCCCCCGGUAAUGAAAUGUAACAAAGGAAGCACUUAAGUUCAGUGAGGGAAAUACAGCUUUAAAUUACAGAUUGUACCCAGAGCACUUUAUAAACGGUAAUGUGUGAUAAUGUAUUAUCCUUACUUCUGUGAAAUUGUGGACUGCAACUUCUGCCGGGGCCAGUUAAAGGGCCAGGAGAUGGAGAGGGUUGCGUGAAUGCCAUUCAAGAAAAGGGCAACAGAGGCUAAGGGGUUAAACUCCCCAGAAAACCAAUUUAUGCAAAGGGCUGGAUCCUGACCGGCAUUCUGCACUAAAGAUCUGAAUUACAAAUUUAGAGAAUUUGCUGCUCGACAACGAAUGCAGGAAGGACCUCACUGGCUGCUGGGAACAACUGCCCUUUUGAAUGAAUUCUUUUAUGGUUACCAGUCAAAAAGUCACCGUCAGCUGGAACUGGAAGGGAGAUGCAGAAACUGAGGCUCCAAGAUGACCUAGGACUAGGUCAUGCGGUAACGGCCUGGCCACUUUGACUUGGAAUCUGGCCCUCAGCUCACCUGUUGUCCCCGGCUCUCUUCUGUUCACUGCCCGCUCUUUCCAACCCUCGGUCUCAGGCUCCUUGCAGUGACUGCGCUGAUUGUCACAAGCCUCGGUUCAGCCCACACCAGUGUGGACAGAUGUCUUCCCUUUUCAAGCCUCCAUUUGUUCACCUGCUAAACCUGCCUGCAGAUUGCGCUGCACACAAUCUAGCACUUCAGGGGCUCAUGAAAAUGGGAAAGGGGAAGGCUGGGAAAGGGCCAUCAAAGAAGUGGUGCUUAGGGGAAGGGAGAAACCCAGUCUUCCAUCAAUCAGAAUAGUUUCACUUUUAUCAUAUGUGUCUGUGUGUGCGUAUAUGCAUAUAUCCGCACACACACACACACACACCCAGGUUUUGUGACAUUUUCUUUUGUAAACAAAAAAGUCCCUUUGCUCAAAAAGAAAGGAAAAUGUUUUCAAACAGUUGGACUUUGUGAAUGCCAAGGGCUUCCUUCCAGUUCUUUUCAGAUUUUUGAAAACCAAGUGGGUUGCUCUCAGUUAGAACUCAAGUAGCAUGAUGGAGAAGGAGGAAAAAAGGACCUGACUAACGAGGACGUCACUGUGAGACAAAGAUCAUGCAGGGAUCGGCCUGCGGUGUGUCUCAUUUCCUGUGGGUAACAGGCACCACAAUAGUUCUGUGGGUGGUGACAGGCUCGGCUGCCAGCAUUCCCCUCCCAGGAAGGCGGUCAGGCAACCCUGGGGAAUGUGUCCAGCUUGAAAGUCUUCGAGGCUUGGUCUUUGGAAAGCGGCAGGGAAGCCCCCCUCCGUCCUCCAUCAUUGCUGGAGGCCUUGUGACACUGGGACGAUGCAGGACUUGGGGUCUAGGGGGCCUGAGCUGAAUGCUGCCUCUGUCUCUGACAACCUGUGGAAUGUUCAGCAAAAGACACAGCUUCUUGGAGGCCUGGCUUAUGUGUCUGGGAGGUGUGGCAGAAGCAGUCCCAGCCUGAAGGGAUGCUGCCAUCCUAAAGAGAUGAGGUCUGUAAAGGAGUGUGGUCCCAGAGGAGGGACUCGGUGUCUAGAACUGUAAUUAGUGUCUCAAACCUGUCCACUUCUUGUCACUUCUUCAGGAAUCACCAGGCCAAUCUCCAUCAGCUCUCCCAAGAAAUAUGACCUGUAUUAACUAGCUCCUAAUGACCUUCAACAGCCAUUCUCCACCACAGCAGCAAAAUAAAAUCUUCGAAUGUUAUCAACAGGGGCCAAGACUUCUUACUUAAUAUCUGUGAGUAGCUUCCCUGCUCAGAUAGGAUUAUGUCUGCAUUCCUUGCACAGCCCGUACAGCCUGCAUGAGGAGGUCCCCGCCCACGGCUCCAAUCUUACUUCCAUCAUUCUCCCCCUACCCUACCUCUCCACCCUCAGCAACCACGGCCUUGUUUCUCUUCCUGAAAUGUACUAAGCUCACUAAGCUCAUUCCCACCCCCGUGCCUUUGCCAGGGCUGUCCCCUCCUCCUGGAAGAAAGAGCCUUGCUCUCUUCCUGUCUGGCACCUUUAACCUUUCCUGUCUCAUCUCAGAUGUAUCUCCUCAGAGACAAUUUUGGGAUCCACCGAUUAAAAGUAGCACACCCCGCCCCCAGACACACUCAGGCAAAAGUAGCACACACCCCCCCAUCCAUACUCAGGCAAACUCUAUCGCGGGACCUUGUUUAUUUCCCUCAGUGAUCUCCCAGACCUACAAUUUUGUUGGCAAAUUUUGUCUUUAAUUUUGUAAUUUUAACGUUGUAGUUUUAAUAAUUUUAACCUUGUUUUUAAACUUAUCUACUAAUACUUUUUAGCUGCAUGCUUCCCCUUCGAAUAUGAACCCCUGAUGUCAGGGACCCUGUCCCCUUUGUUUGCUGAAUAUACCUCCAGCGCCUAGUUCAAGGCUUGGCACAUGUUUCUGCAAAGGGCCAGUUGGCAAAAAUUUUAAGCCUUAUGAGCCAUGCAGUCUAGUCAACUAGUCAACCCAACCAGUCAACCCUAGUCAUGCAACUAGUCAACCCUCAUGUUUUUGUGUGAAAGCAGCUAGACAACAUGUAAAUGAAUGAACAUGGCAAUGUUCCAAUAAAAAUUUAUUUAUAGAAACAAGGGUUGCAUUUUUAAUACCCCUGGUCUAGCUCACUGCCAGGAUUCUAAAUAUUCUACAAAUAUUUGUUAAGUGAAUGACCAGAU
rnacentral:lncRNA from 1 species